rfam:Asian citrus Psyllid, Diaphorina citri - Florida Strain, whole genome shotgun sequence.
AUAGACAUGGCGUAGUGGUCACUGCGCUCGCCUUGCACGCGGGAGACCCGGGUUCGAUUCCCGGCGGUUUUU